CCUCCCCGGCGAGACAAUCCUCCAAAGCUCUCGUUCUGUUUGCCUCAAUGGUUUUGGUUGACUUGUUUGUGGUUCAAGGGUGGGGGAUAUGGCCGCGUCAGUGUUGUGUCAGCCCUGCGAGGGGAGAACUUAUCUUCUGGAGAAGGACAACGUUGAGGUGUUUCCUAAAAAUGUGAUGGCGAGAUAGCUGUCGUGUCCUUUGGAUAUGCAUCCCGGGACGGGACUUUCGCAGCUGGGAAUGCUUUGCUCCCGUUUUCCAUGUGAUUUAUUUGCAUCCCUGUGGUUUAUUUUGGCCUGAAGGGCCGCCAAUGGGUUGUGUGUUCGCAGAUCAAAUCGUGAUUCGGGGCAGAGCGGGAUGAACUUCGGGAGGGAGGAGAUGGGCCCUGGGGCAAGAGAGCGUGAAACGUUAAAUGUUAAAAAUUCUCUUCACAGGUCUGCCUCCCAAGCGACCAUUAACAUUCAGGUGAUGGCUUUGUAAUUUUGCUCAGAGAUCCUUCCGUGGGAAGGGCAGGAAUGGUGCUAAGCCUUAUUUAUGGAGCAGGAGAGAAGCGCAGAGCCGGGACCCGCCGGGGCCAUGCUCCCCCUGCUCCGGAGGAGGAACUCCGUCCCGGGCCGUGAUCCACCAGCACCACGCCAACAAAAUCCCACCACCACAGUGGGGACAAAACUUAGCUUGGGAGGCAGGUAAAUCACCACGGAAACCCACCCGAGCAGCGUUCCCAGCCUCGGCGUGUCAGGAAUUCUCCCUCGGGGCGGAGGUGCCCGCAGGUUUGCCGGGUACCCCCGCCCUUGCUCCAGUCAUUCCCAGCACUAGCACUGCUCUCGGCAGGAGCGCUUGGAUCUCAUGAGGCCAGCGCUGUAAUUAAUGAGAUUUGAGGCGCGAGCGCCGAGACAAAAUUCGAGUUUCCAAUAUCAGGAAUGAAGAUCCAGCCUUUGUUGCAAAAGGGGAUGAGGGAUGGCAGUACUUUAAAGCUUCUCAGUCCGACACUGGAAAGGAAUUCACAAUGUAUUUUUAGAGUGUUAUAAAAAUCUCUUACAUAAUGCUGAUUAAUUCUUCGGUUUUAGGGAAGAGCACUGGGCUUUGUGCACAAGAGUGUUGACCAGCUAAGCCACUGAAAAGGGCUGGUUUGGGCUAGAUUUUCCCCCCCCCCUUGAACUUUUUCUUGGGCAGAGAAAGCUGCAAUUGUUCAAUUAUUACAGGAUUUUGCUUUUUGUUUGGGCGUGUUAUGAAUAUUAUUCUGGAAACUGUGCCUUAUUCUUGGAAGUCUUUAUCAUUUUAAAACAUAUGUUAUGUUAUAUCACCCUGUCUGAGAUAUAGGAUAGCUCCAAACUGGGUGGUUGGUUGUUUUUUUUUCCCCCUCUCUCUUGCUGCAGCUAGUUAGAGUAUGGAUUAAUGUUAAGGAUAUCUGCAGUGAAACAUUGCUUGUGUGGCUGACUUAAAGAAUGUCACAUUACAGGAUCACAGCUUUAUUGAUACAGUAAUAUGUACAAUCACUUUGUAUUUCUGCCCGUUCUGUUGAUCCUCAAAAAUCAUUGAUUAGUCCAACUGGCAGGUUUCACACAGCCCUUAACAAAGGGCUAUUCAGGAAAUGAAGUCUGUAAGUGCUACUCCCUUAUUUUAAUUCCAGUUAUCUAUACUUAUUGCUGUGUAGCUGGGAAGAUUUUUUGGGCAAGAUAUCGUGGGAGAGAGAUGCUUUUGUUUAGUCUUUUUCAACAGAUACGUGACCGAGGCAGCUUUGAAGCCUUUUCUGAGGAAUCCUUCGUCCUUCUGUAGAAUGUUUAAUCUUCCUGUGGAGUGUCUAACUAUGAGACUCCUUCUGCAGACUUUCAUUCUUGUGCCAUACAGAUGAGCAGGGGUUGCUCAGGUGAUUGAACGAGUCCUAAAUCGUUGCUGGAGAAUGGAGAGAGCAGGAACGCAUAGGUCAAAACAAAAUCUUUAUUUGCCCCUCUUUUCCACCCGGGAGGAGGAAAAAAAAACAGGAGCCACAAUUCCCUCCUGUCUCUGCAGCAGGAGCCAGGGUGGUUUCACAGCCUCCUGUCACACAGUUCAUCCAUGAAGGGGCCAGAGACAGCACAAACACCAUCAGCUGGCAAGCAAAACUUGCUAAGAACAAACCUUCCACGGGUUUAUUGCUCUCGCUGGCUGUGCUGGGGCUGUUCACACACUGCACACGUGUGCAGUUCAGAAUGGGGAAAUUAUCUGCACGAGGCACCCAGUGCCACACGGUCUGAACCUUGCAAUGGAAAAAAACACACGUUUGUGUGUACUGGUUUCCUCCACGGCUUCUUUUCCUGGUGUUUUAUGUGGUUUCAGCCCUCCCUGGUGCUGUUUUCACUGCAGGGGCUGUCACAGCCUCUCUCACACAGACACUUGUGUGUGUGCCUUUGGUGCUCGUGCUGCCUCUCAUGAAGAAAAGUUCAAAUCCAGUCUUCCUCUUCUCCCCAGUCACAUAUUUUGACUUCUAGAAUGGGAAUUCAUACAUUUCUUGGUGAAAUGUGUUUGAUAAUUGGGGUAAAAUUGUGUCUACAAAUACAUAAACACCCUUAGUAUCUGAGAUCUCCCUAAUUUCAUUGGUUAGCUCGUUGUUUUAAGCCAUUUCAUGGAAAUUACAUUUUUCCAGACA